AGUGAACGCUGGCGGUAGGCCUAACACAUGCCAGUCGAACGGCAGCACAGUAAAAGCUUGCUUUUCCGGGUGGCGAGUGGCGGACGGGUGAGUAAUACAUCGGAAUCUACUUUUUCGUUGGGGAUAACGUAGGGAAACGUACGCCAAUACCGCAUACGACCUACGGGUGAAAGCAGGGGGUCUUCUGACCUUUUGCGAUUGCAUGAGCCGAUGUCGGAUUAGCUAGUUGGCGGGGGAAAGGACCACCAAAGCGACGAUCCGUAGAUGGUGUGAGAGGAUGAUCAGCCACCCUGGAACUGAGACACGGUCCAGACUACUACGGGAGGGAGCGGUGGGGAAUAUUGGACAAUGGAAGCGAGCAUGAUCCAGCCCAGCCGCGUGGGGGAAAAAGGCAUUCGGGUAUUAGAGCCAUUCUGUUGGGAAAGAAGAACAGCGGGUUAAUCCCGCGCUGUUCUGACGGUACCGAAUGAAUAAGCACCGGCUAACUUCGUG
rnacentral:rRNA from 1 species